rnacentral:rRNA from 1 species
UACGUAGGGUGCAAGCGUUGUCCGGAAUUAUUGGGCGUAAAGAGCUCGUAGGCGGUCUGUCGCGUCUGCUGUGAAAACCCAGGGCUUAACCCUGGGCCUGCGGUGGGUACGGGCAGACUAGAGUGAUGUAGGGGAGACUGGAAUUCCUGGUGUAGCGGUGAAAUGCGCAGAUAUCAGGAGGAACACCGAUGGCGAAGGCAGGUCUCUGGGCAUUAACUGACGCUGAGGAGCGAAAGCAUGGGGAGCGAACAGG